CGCCUYUUGUAAACUAAAAAUAAGAGGUCCCGCCUGCCCUGUGACUAUGUUUAACGGCCGCGGUAUUUUGACCGUGCAAAGGUAGCACAAUCACUUGUCUUCUAAAUAGAGACCUGUAUGAAUGGCAUAACGAGGGCUUAACUGUCUCCUUCCCCCGGUCAAUGAAAUUGAUCUCUCCGUGCAGAAGCGGGGAUAUAAACAUAAGACGAGAAGACCCUAUGGAGCUUAAGAUGUAUAGCUGAAUUACUUUAAAACCCCAAGCUACAGGGCCAAACCCAGUAAAAUUCUACUAAAUGUCUUUGGUUGGGGCGACCACGGGGCAAAAACAAACCCCCGCGAGGAAUGGGUUCUUACCCUAUGAUCUACGAACACCAGUUCUAAGCACCAAAACAUUUGACCUUUAGAUCCGGCAUGGCCGAUCAACGAACCGAGUUACCCUAGGGAUAACAGCGCAAUCCCCUCCAAGAGUCCAUAUCGACAAGGGGGUUUACGACCUCGAUGUUGGAUCAGGACAUCCUAAUGGUGCAGCAGCUAUUAAGGGUUCGUUUGUUCAACGAUUAAAGUCCU
rnacentral:rRNA from 1 species